rnacentral:ribozyme from 1 species
AUUUUUUUUUUUUCUUUAUUUGCGUUCGUUAUCGUGAACUGAAUUAAUGAAAAUAAAUUGGGAGAGAAACUGGUGGGAAUUGCAACGCAAAAUUUGAGAGAGAAAGUAGUGCUUUCCGGCUUCUUCUGUUCUCUUCAUCAACAAUUUU